AGUGAACGCUGGCGGUAGGCCUAACACAUGCAAGUCGAACGGCAGCACAGUAAGAGCUUGCUCUUACGGGUGGCGAGUGGCGGACGGGUGAGGAAUACAUCGGAAUCUACUUUUUCGUGGGGGAUAACGUAGGGAAACUUACGCUAAUACCGCAUACGACCUACGGGUGAAAGCAGGGGAUCUUCGGACCUUGCGCGAUUGAAUGAGCCGAUGUCGGAUUAGCUAGUUGGCGGGGUAAAGGCCCACCAAGGCGACGAUCCGUAGCUGGUCUGAGAGGAUGAUCAGCCACACUGGAACUGAGACGCGGUCCAGACUCCUACGGGAGGCAGCAGUGGGGAAUAUUGGACAAUGGGCGAAAGCCUGAUCCAGCCAUACCGCGUGGGUGAAGAAGGCCUUCGGGUUGUAAAGCCCUUUUGUUGGGAAAGAAAAGCAGCAGGUUAAUACCCCGCUGUUCUGACGGUACCCAAAGAAUAAGCACCGGCUAACUUCGUG
rnacentral:rRNA from 1 species